AACGAACGCUAGCGGCAUGCCUAACACAUGCAAGUCGAACGAAGCCUUCGGGCUUAGUGGCGCACGGGUGCGUAACACGUGGGAAUCUGCCCUUCGGUUCGGAAUAACAGUUAGAAAUGACUGCUAAUACCGGAUGAUGACGAAAGUCCAAAGAUUUAUCGCCGAAGGAUGAGCCCGCGUAGGAUUAGGUAGUUGGUAGGGUAAUGGCCUACCAAGCCGACGAUCCUUAGCUGGUCUGAGAGGAUGAUCAGCCACACUGGGACUGAGACACGGCCCAGACUCCUACGGGAGGCAGCAGUGGGGAAUAUUGGACAAUGGGCGAAAGCCUGAUCCAGCAAUGCCGCGUGAGUGAUGAAGGCCUUAGGGUUGUAAAGCUCUUUUACCAGGGAUGAUAAUGACAGUACCUGGAGAAUAAGCUCCGGCUAACUCCGUG
rnacentral:rRNA from 1 species